rnacentral:misc_RNA from 1 species
GGCGAGUGUUGGGGAAGCGGAGUACGAGAGUGAUCCGGAGGAAGCAAAGUUGUCCUUGAAGAUGAGGAGAAGAGAAGCGAGUGAUGAUGAGGAGGAAGAAAGGGAAGUGGAGAAGAGAGAGAAGUCUGUUCGGAUGAUUGAAUCUGAUGGUGAAUCGGAAGGACAGGGGGCUGCUGCUGAUUAUGAUGAAGAGGAGGAAGAAGAGG